rnacentral:misc_RNA from 1 species
GGCUAUUGCAACAAGGUAUUGCCCUGCUGCUACACAGGAUUAAGAGAUGAGAACUUAUUAUCUUAACUGGCAGCUAAAUGUCCUUCUUGUAUUUUAAGUUACCAGAAAACCUAAAUGUUGUUUUACUAAAUCACUUUACAUGUUUUAUAUGGUAAUGAAUCUUUUUAUGUUACUUUUUAUCUCUUUUAAAUUGUUCUUAUUGGCAUUACCACAAUUGAAUUGAACAACUGCACUAUCAGAGGUCUAUUCACAAAGACAGUAUAGCUUUUAUUGUUCUUGCUUGUUUUUUCAGAAAAAUGCAAAUAAAAAAAAUAAUUUGUGUCAGACUGACCAAUUGCCAUGAUCAUCUCAACAAUAACCUUCAGUUUUAUAUUCAAAAUUUGAAUUGUUCAAUUGUUGGUACACACUGUUCCAUUUUUGGAACUCCAUAUACAUGUAGCUUUUGUGUAAAGUAUUGAUAUUUUAAAGAUACUAUGUUUGUAUUAGAACAUCUUUGUUUUCCCACCCAUAGUAUGGUUAUCAUUUAAUUAGCAAUAUUAUUCAGCAAAUUAGGAAAGCUGAUUGUGUAUUUAUUCUGGUUAUCAAUUUACUUUGUACUUAUAUGUGUACCUUGGAAAUAAAUUUGAAAA